AAAAAAAAAAAAAAAAAAAAAAAAAAAA
rnacentral:ncRNA from 2 species